AGUGAACGCUGGCGGUAGGCCUAACACAUGCAAGUCGAACGAGUGGCGGACGGGUGAGUAAUGCGUCGGAAUCUACUCUGUCGUGGGGGAUAACGUGGGGAAACUUACGCUAAUACCGCAUACGAUUGACUGAGCCGAUGUCGGAUGAGCUAGUUGGCGGGGUAAAGGCCCACCAAGGCGACGAUCCGUAGCUGGUCUGAGAGGAGGAUCAGCCACACUGGAACUGAGACAAGGGCCAGACUCCUACGGGAGGCAGCAGUGGGGAAGAUGUGACAAUGGGCGCAAGCCUGAUCCAGCCAUACCGCGUGGGUGAAGAAGGCCUUCGGGUUGUAAAGCCCUUUUGUUGGGAAAGCGGUACCCAAAGAAUAAGCACCGGCUAACUUCGUGCCAGCCGCCGCGGUAAUUC
rnacentral:rRNA from 1 species